rnacentral:rRNA from 1 species
UGGGGAAUUUUGGACAAUGGGCGCAAGCCUGAUCCAGCCAUGCCGCGUGCGGGAAGAAGGCCUUCGGGUUGUAAACCGCUUUUGUCAGGGAAGAAAUCCUUUGAGCUAAUACCUCGGGGGGAUGACGGUACCUGAAGAAUAAGCACCGGCUAACUACGCGCCAGCAGCCGCGGUAAUACGUAGGGUGCAAGCGUUAAUCGGAAUUACUGGGCGUAAAGCGUGCGCAGGCGGUUAUAUAAGACAGAUGUGAAAUCCCCGGGCUUAACCUGGGAACUGCGCUUGUGACUGCACGGCUAGAGUAUGGCGGAGGGGGGUGGAAUUCCACGUGUAGCAGUGAAAUGCGUAGAGAUGUGGAGGAACACCGAUGGCGAAGGCAAUCCCCUGGACCUGUACUGACGCUCAUGCACGAAAGCGUGGGGAGCAAACA